CCUACGGGUUGCACCAGUGGGGAAUAUUGCACAAUGGGCGCAAGCCUGAUGCAGCCAUGCCGCGUGUAUGAAGAAGGCCUUCGGGUUGUAAAGUACUUUCAGCGAGGAGGAAGGCGAUAAGGUUAAUAACCUUGUCGAUUGGUGUUACUCGCAGAAGAAGCACCGGCUAACUCCGUGCCAGCAGCCGCGGUAAUACGGAGGGUGCAAGCGUUAAUCGGAAUUACUGGGCGUAAAGCGCACGCAGGCGGUCUGUCAAGUCGGAUGUGAAAUCCCCGGGCUCAACCUGGGAACUGCAUUCGAAACUGGCAGGCUAGAGUCUUGUAGAGGGGGGUAGAAUUCCAGGUGUAGCGGUGAAAUGCGUAGAGAUCUGGAGGAAUACCGGUGGCGAAGGCGGCCCCCUGGACAAAGACUGACGCUCAGGUGCGAAAGCGUGGGGAGCAAACAGGAUUAGAUACCCGCGUAGUC
rnacentral:rRNA from 1 species